CUGAGCAGAGAGCCCGAUUCGGGGCUCGAUCCCAGGACUCUGGGAUCAUGACCUGAGCUGAAGGCAGAUGCUUAACCCACUGAGCCGCCCAGUCACCCUGAGAUUUUUCAUUUCUUACAAGCUCCCAGGUGUUGCUGACGCUGCUGUCCACCCACCAUGCUCUGAGUAGUAAAGGGUUUAGAUACCCAGCUUUUUCUUUGCAUGAUGGAAUCCUCCGUACAAAUGUCUAGAAACCAAAAGCAACAAUUAUCACUAUAACUGUGUCAAUAAAUGUUACUUCAGGCUGCUUCAGGUGGCCCCGUGGGGUGACUUUCAGUAGUCACAGUCUCAAUACCCAUUGUGCUCCUGGUGUCAUGGGGACUUACAGCACAGGAAAAAAUACAAACCCUGAAUCUCCGCCCUCAGUAACCUUACUGUUUACAAAGGAGAUGAGUCAGAUGAAACAGCACAAGAACAAGUCGGCUCCAGUCCGCACAUCUAUGCGGUACACUUCUAGGCUCACAAAAGGACACAGAAAAGCAUGAAUAGGCCUCAGACUGUGUUCAUCAGCAGACAUCAAUAUCCUCCCACUGGUCUUCCUGUGUCCACUCUGGAGUCCCUCCAGUCCAUGCUCUUCCCUCCACUGACCGGAAUAGGCUUUUCAAAAUUGCAAAUCUGAUCACAUUAUAGCCCCCCCCCCCACCGCAUUUUAGGCCUUCCGUUUCCCCCACACUGCAUUUCGCAGGAGCAGGCCCCACAGGGCUGGCCUCUGCCCUGCCCCCAUACUUUGUGCUCUAGCCACAUUGGCCAUGUGUCACAACGGUUCUUACAGGAAGCCUGUUGGCUGGGACUCCUGGUUUAACCCCAUCUCCUCCUUCAUGUCAAAGACAAGGAGGGGGCGAGCUGCAACACAGUGAGUGUGAACUUCUGCCACUGGGAAGGCUUCCCAGGGGAGGGGAGACUGCUACCUUACAGGAGGAAAAAGGCAAGGUCAGGGAAGGUGAAACACAGAGGCCAUGCUUGGGAUGGAGGAGAGGACUGCUCACCCGUAAUGUCAUGGCCAAAAGACCUUGAAAACAAAAUACAUUCAAGAUCUUAUGACCAACUUAGAAGAUAUUUUCUAAAGGUUACAGGAAUGUGAAAGACUCUAUGGAGUGAGAAAUCUUUCCUCGUAUGCUCAUUCACACUACCAAAUCUGUCUUUAGCCCUGAGAUUCCCUUAGCUUAAGACUUACGUCACCGAGUGUCUAUCUGGAUUUUUCCUCUCAAUACACUGGCCCUCUCCAUACAAUUAAUCUGAAACUAAACUCACAUCUUCUCUUUCUGUAAGUGCCCUCUUCUUUUUUAUAUUUGUGAGCUAGAUGGCUUUCUAGAACCAUCUCCGACCUUCCCCUUGCCAUCUUCUCUUUUGUCAGUUACCGAUUCUAUUGUCCCUCCCUUGUUCAACCCUGCCCUCCCCCAACACUAGCAACAUUCUUUCAUGGUUUCUUUUUUUCCUGUACUGAUGCAAACACCUUUUACUGGCCUCCUAGAUCAAAGCAUCCCUACCUUACCUGCCCCUGCCCUGCCUGGCUCUGAGCAUCGUUCUCCCCACCACCCCAGUCACCUCCCCUGGAUUUCCUCCAGCAGGCAAACAAAACUCAAACUCCUUAGUUUGACUUUCAGAGCUCCUCUCCUGUCUUAGGUGGCUUAUCUUUGACCUCUGCUGCCCCUUUACUCCAGCCUGUGGGAGGUACUUGCCCCGUCCUUGAAAACCCGAUGGACCUUCCCAGCUGUGACUGCCUAUUCUGACUCCUCCUCCCUCUCCCCGUCCUAAUCUUACCCAUCCUUCAAGGCUCACCUCAACUGCGUGUUUUGUUUUGUUUUUUAAUUGAAGUAGAGUUGACAAACAUUCUUAAUGUCACAUGUACAGCCUAGUGAUUUGACAAGUGAGUAUAGUCACCAUUUGUCACCAUACAGCAUUAUUAACGAUGUUAUUGACUAUAUUCCCUGUGCUGUACUUUUUGUCUUCAUGACUUAUUCUGUAACUGAAGUUUGUGCCUCUUAAUCCUCUUAAUCCUUUUGUUGACCCUUCCAUUGCCUCCCUUCCCAGAGGCACAUCUUCUGUGAAGUCUUCUCUAAUCCCCUGGCCAUAAGAGAUGGUCCUCCGGGGGCUCUUGGGUGGCUCAGUGGGUUAAAGCCUCUGCCUUCAGCUCAGGUCAUGAUCUCAGGGUCAUGGGAUUGAGCCCCGCAUCAGGCUCUCUACUCAGCCGGGAGCCUGCUUCCCCCUCUCUCUCUGCCUACCUCUCUGCCUACUUGUGAUCUCUCUCUCUGUCAAAUAAAUAAAUAAAAUCUUAAAAAAAAAAAAAAGAUGGUCCUUGGAACUCCCAUAGCGUGGUGACACUUGAAUACUUAUGCUGCAUUCUACCAUGGUGAUGAUGGUGACGAUUUCUUUGUUUCACAGUAUGGAUAACAUCUAUUAAUUAUUGACUACCCAGGUAUCUUGGGCACAUUAUGAACUUCUCCAUGCCUCUGUCUUUCCUCUGUAAGAUGGUGGAAAUAAUGGCACCUGACCCAAAGGGUUGUGAGGAUUCGUUACAAUCAUACCUGACAUGAAGUACUUGAUCAGUGAAUGUUAGCGAUUGUCAUUACUGAGAAAACCAGCUGAAACUCUGGAGCUCGUAAGGAACUUCCCAGUCUUCUCCACUCCCCCUCCUCCUGCAAGUCGAUCAGCUCUCCUCACCCAGGUCAGCCCCAGUCUGCCACCGCCCCCACCCCCGACCCCCAUCUGCACCUCAUCACCAGCUCUGUUGAUCCACAGGCCAAAGGCUGAGGCAGGCAGGCAAGGGGACAUAAGAGACUGUCCUUGCUCGGCUUCCUCCCCCGGCCACUCCACCCACACUCUUCCUCUAGCCCAGCACAGUCCCGGCCAUCCUGGAACAAGUUGUGUCCUUUCUCGCCUCCCUGACUUCGCACAUGCUGUUCUGAAGACUGGAAUGCCUUCCCUCGUUCUCCACCUCCGAGACUCCUACAGUCUCUGCGAGCCAGCUCAGAUGUCACCUCCUCUGGGAAGCCUCCUCUCCUGCCCUGUGCUGUCUGUCCGCCCCCUCCUCUGCACAGACUUGCUCAUCGUAUACUAAGGCACUUGGACCACAACGAGCGACCCGGAGUGAGUGGGUCCCCUGUGUCCCCAACUCCUUGUGCUCUGCUCGGAGCAGGGGUCAAGAGGAACCCGGGGCGCUUGGAUUUUUCUUGAUGCUCCUAGGACAUUUGAAAAUGAGAUGGCAAAACACGUUUACAAAUAAAUACUGAGGCCUAUUUU